UACGGGGGGGGCUAGCGUUGUUCGGAAUUACUGGGCGUAAAGGGCGCGUAGGCGGUCUGCUAAGUUGGAUGUGAAAACUCUGGGCUUAACCCAGAGCCUGCAUUCAAUACUGACAGGCUAGAGUUCUGGAGGGGAUAGCGGAAUUCCUGGUGUAGCGGUGAAAUGCGUAGAUAUCAGGAGGAACACCGGUGGCGAAGGCGGUUCUCUGGGCAUUACCUGACGCUGAGGAGCGAAAGUGUGGGGAGCGAACAGG
rnacentral:rRNA from 1 species